AAGUCGUAACAAGGUUUCCGUAGGUGAACCUGCGGAAGGAUCAUUACAGAGUUCAUGCCCCUCGGGGUAGAUCUCCCACCCUUGUGUAUCAUUAUAGAAUGUUGCUUUGGCGGGCCGCGCUUCGGCGCCUGGAUUCGCGUCCAGCGUGCCCGCCAGAGGACCCCUAAACUCUGAAUGUUAGUGUCGUCUGAGUACUAUUAAAUAGUUAAAACUUUCAACAACGGAUCUCUUGGUUCUGGCAUCGAUGAAGAACGCAGCGAAAUGCGAUAAGUAAUGUGAAUUGCAGAAUUCAGUGAAUCAUCGAAUCUUUGAACGCACAUUGCGCCCCCUGGUAUUCCGGGGGGCAUGCCUGUUCGAGCGUCAUUUAUACCAAUCUAGCCCGGCUAGGUGUUGGGCUUCGCCGUCUGGCGGGCCUUAAAAUCAGUGGCGGUGCUUCCAGGCUCUACGCGUAGUAAUUUUCUCGCUAUAGGGUCCUGGGAGACGCUGGCCAACAACCCCAAAUUUUUCCAGGUUGACCUCGGAUCAGGUAGGGAUACCCGCUGAACUUAAGCAUAUCAAUAAGCGGAGGAAAAGAAACCAACAGGGAUUACCUCAGUAACGGCGAGUGAAGCGGUAACAGCUCAAAUUUGAAAUCUGGCUCUUUCAGGGUCCGAGUUGUAAUUUGUAGAAGAUGCUUUGGGUGUGGCCCUGGUCUAAGUUCCUUGGAACAGGACGUCAUAGAGGGUGAGAAUCCCGUAUGUGACUAGGCGCUUUCGCCCGUGUAAAGCUCUUUCGACGAGUCGAGUUGUUUGGGAAUGCAGCUCAAAAUGGGUGGUAAAUUUCAUCUAAAGCUAAAUAUUGGCCAGAGACCGAUAGCGCACAAGUAGAGUGAUCGAAAGAUGAAAAGCACUUUGGAAAGAGAGUUAAACAGUACGUGAAAUUGUUGAAAGGGAAGCGCUUGCAACCAGACUUAGUGGCGGCCGAUCAUCUAGGGUUCUCCCUGGUGCACUCGGUCGUCUCUAGGCCAGCAUCGGUUUGGGUGGUGGGAUAAAGGCCUUGGGAAUGUAGCUCCUCUCGGGGAGUGUUAUAGCCCUCGGUGCAAUGCCGCCUACCCGGACCGAGGACCGCGCUUCGGCUAGGAUGCUGGCGUAAUGGUUGUAAGCGACC
rnacentral:rRNA from 1 species